rnacentral:rRNA from 1 species
AUUGAACGCUGGCGGCAGGCCUAACACAUGCAAGUCGAGCGGAUGAAGGGAGCUUGCUCCUGGAUUCAGCGGCGGACGGGUGAGUAAUGCCUAGGAAUCUGCCUGGUAGUGGGGGAUAACGUCCGGAAACGGGCGCUAAUACCGCAUACGUCCUGAGGGAGAAAGUGGGGGAUCUUCGGACCUCACGCUAUCAGAUGAGCCUAGGUCGGAUUAGCUAGUUGGUGGGGUAAAGGCCUACCAAGGCGACGAUCCGUAACUGGUCUGAGAGGAUGAUCAGGCACACUGGAACUGAGACACGGUCCAGACUCCUACGGGAGGCAGCAGUGGGGAAUAUUGGACCAUGGGCGAAAGCCUGAUCCAGCCAUGCCGCGUGUGUGAAGAAGGUCUUCGGAUUGUAAAGCACUUUAAGUUGGGAGGAAGGGCAGUAAGUUAAUACCUUGCUGUUUUGACGUUACCAACAGAAUAAGCACCGGCUAACUUCGUG